rnacentral:rRNA from 1 species
UACGUAGGGUGCGAGCGUUUGUCCGGAAUUAUUGGGCGUAAAGAGCUUGUAGGUGGUUUGUCGCGUCUGCUGUGAAAAUCCGAGGCUCAACCUCGGACUUGCAGUGGGUACGGGCAGACUAGAGUGUGGUAGGGGAGACUGGAAUUCCUGGUGUAGCGGUGGAAUGCGCAGAUAUCAGGAAGAACACCGAUGGCGAAGGCAGGUCU